GGCGUGCUUAACACAUGCAAGUCGAACGAAGAGCGAUGGAAGCUUGCUUCUAUCAAUCUUAGUGGCGAACGGGUGAGUAACGCGUAAUCAACCUGCCCUUCAGAGGGGGACAACAGUUGGAAACGACUGCUAAUACCGCAUACGAUCUAACCUUGGCAUCGAGGAUGGAUGAAAGGUGGCCUCUAUUUAUAAGCUAUCACUGAAGGAGGGGAUUGCGUCUGAUUAGCUAGUUGGAGGGGUAACGGCCCACCAAGGCGAUGAUCAGUAGCCGGUCUGAGAGGAUGAACGGCCACAUUGGGACUGAGACACGGCCCAGACUUCUACGGGAGGCAGCAGUGGGGAAUCUUCCGCAAUGGACGAAAGUCUGACGGAGCAACGCCGCGUGAGUGAUGACGGCCUUCGGGUUGUAAAGCUCUGUUAAUCGGGACGAAAGGCCUUCUUGCGAAUAGUGAGAAGGAUUGACGGUACCGGAAUAGAAAGCCACGGCUAACUACGUGCCAGCAGCCGCGGUAAUACGUAGGUGGCAAGCGUUGUCCGGAAUUAUUGGGCGUAAAGCGCGCGCAGGCGGAUCGGUCAGUCUGUCUUAGAAGUUCGGGGCUUAACCCCGUGAUGGGAUGGAAACUGCCAAUCUAGAGUAUCGGAGAGGAAAGUGGAAUUCCUAGUGUAGCGGUGAAAUGCGUAGAUAUUAGGAAGAACACCAGUGGCGAAGGCGACUUUCUGGACGAAACUGACGCUGAGGCGCGACACCAGGGGAGCGAACGGGAUUAGAUACCCCGGUAGUCCUGGCCGUAAACGAUGGGUACUAGGUGUAGGAGGUAUCGACCCCUUCUGUGCCGGAGUUAACGCAAUAAGUACCCCGCCUGGGGAGUACGACCGCAAGGUUGAAACUCAAAGGAAUUGACGGGGGCCCGCACAAGCGGUGGAGUAUGUGGUUUAAUUCGACGCAACGCGAAGAACCUUACCAGGUCUUGACAUUGAUGGACAGAACCAGAGAUGGUUCCUCUUCUUCGGAAGCCAGAAAACAGGUGGUGCACGGUUGUCGUCAGCUCGUGUCGUGAGAUGUUGGGUUAAGUCCCGCAACGAGCGCAACCCCUAUCUUAUGUUGCCAGCACGUAAAGGUGGGAACUCAUGAGAGACUGCCGCAGACAAUGCGGAGGAAGGCGGGGAUGACGUCAAAUCAUCAUGCCCCUUAUGACCUGGGCUACACACGUACUACAAUGGGAGUUAAUAGACGGAAGCGAGAUCGCGAGAUGGAGCAAACCCGAGAAACACUCUCUCAGUUCGGAUCGUAGGCUGCAACUCGCCUACGUGAAGUCGGAAUCGCUAGUAAUCGCAGGUCAGCAUACUGCGGUGAAUACGUUCCCGGGCCUUGUACACACCGCCCGUCACACCACGAAAGUCGGAAGUGCCCAAAGCCGGUGGGGUAACCUUCGGGAGCCAGCCGUCUAAGGUAAAGUCGAUGAUUGGGGUGAAGUCGUAACAAGG
rnacentral:rRNA from 1 species